rnacentral:lncRNA from 1 species
GGGAAGAAUGAAGCUGUGGCUGUCAAAAAUGCCUGGUGGACCUAGCGGAUGACACCUAGACAGCAUGUUUGCUGCUGUCCUCUAUGCUGACCAAGCCUCUCCUCUGCAGAUGAAAACCCCUCCGGAUCAGAGCUAGCUCUAAACAGCACCUUGUCGGUUGAGAUUUUGAGCAACAGGGUCCUGCAAGGUGGGCAUAUUUGGCA